rnacentral:rRNA from 1 species
UACAGGGGGUGCAAACGUUGCUCGGAAUCAUUGGGCGUAAAGCGCACGUAGGCGGUUCGUUAUGUCGGAUGUGAAAGCCCUUGGCUUAACCGAGGAAGUGCAUCCGAAACUGGCGAGCUAGAGUACGAAAGAGGAUCGCGGAAUUCCCGGUGUAGAGGUGAAAUUCGUAGAUAUCGGGAGGAACACCGGUGGCGAAGGCGGCUCACUGGUCCGGUACUGACGCUGAGGUGCGAAAGCGUGGGGAGCAAACAGG